AGAGUUUGAUCCUGGCUCAGGAUGAACGCUAGCGACAGGCUUAACACAUGCAAGUCGAGGGGCAGCGGGGGAGUAGCAAUACUCCCGCCGGCGACCGGCGCACGGGUGAGUAACACGUAUGAAACCUGCCCGUAGCAGGGGGAUAAGCGGAAGAAAUUCCGUCUAAUACCGCGUAACAACCCUUGGAGGCAUCUCCUCGGGUUUAAAGGAAGCGAUUCCGGCUACGGAUGGUCAUGCGUCGCAUUAGCUAGUUGGCGGGGUAACGGCCCACCAAGGCGACGAUGCGUAGGGGUUCUGAGAGGAAGGUCCCCCACACUGGUACUGAGACACGGACCAGACUCCUACGGGAGGCAGCAGUGAGGAAUAUUGGUCAAUGGCCGCAGGGCUGAACCAGCCAAGUCGCGUGAGGGAUGACGGUCCUAUGGAUUGUAAACCUCUUUUGUCAGGGAGCAAAGGGCGUCACGUGUGGCGUUUUGCGAGUACCUGAAGAAAAAGCAUCGGCUAACUCCGUGCCAGCAGCCGCGGUAAUACGGAGGAUGCGAGCGUUAUCCGGAUUUAUUGGGUUUAAAGGGUGCGCAGGCGGAAUGUCAAGUCAGCGGUAAAAUUUCGGGGCUCAACCCCGUCGUGCCGUUGAAACUGGCGUUCUUGAGUGAGCGAGAAGUAUGCGGAAUGCGUGGUGUAGCGGUGAAAUGCAUAGAUAUCACGCAGAACUCCGAUUGCGAAGGCAGCAUACCGGCGCUCAACUGACGCUCAUGCACGAAAGCGUGGGUAUCGAACAGGAUUAGAUACCCUGGUAGUCCACGCAGUAAACGAUGAAUACUAACUGUCCGGGCAGAAUGAUGUCUGGGUGGUACAGCGAAAGCGUUAAGUAUUCCACCUGGGGAGUACGCCGGCAACGGUGAAACUCAAAGGAAUUGACGGGGGCCCGCACAAGCGGAGGAACAUGUGGUUUAAUUCGAUGAUACGCGAGGAACCUUACCCGGGCUCAAACGACGGAUGGAUGUUUCUGAAAGGAGGCAGUCCUACGGGACAUCCGUCGAGGUGCUGCAUGGUUGUCGUCAGCUCGUGCCGUGAGGUGUCGGCUUAAGUGCCAUAACGAGCGCAACCCCCAUCGCCAGUUACCAGCAAGUAAAGUUGGGGACUCUGGCGAGACUGCCGGCGCAAGCUGUGAGGAAGGCGGGGAUGACGUCAAAUCAGCACGGCCCUUACGUCCGGGGCGACACACGUGUUACAAUGGCAGGUACAGAGAGAUGCGAUGCGGCGACGCAGAGCGGAACUUCAAAGCCUGUCUCAGUUCGGAUUGGAGUCUGCAACCCGACUCCAUGAAGCUGGAUUCGCUAGUAAUCGCGCAUCAGCCACGGCGCGGUGAAUACGUUCCCGGGCCUUGCACACACAGCCCGUCA
rnacentral:rRNA from 1 species